ACCAGACUCCUACGGGAGGCAGCAGUGGGGAAUAUUGCACAAUGGGGGGAACCCUGAUGCAGCGACGCCGCGUGGGUGAAGAAGCGCCUCGGCGCGUAAAGCCCUGUCAGCAGGGAAGAAAAUGACGGUACCUGAAGAAGAAGCCCCGGCUAACUACGUGCCAGCAGCCGCGGUAAUACGUAGGGGGUAAGCGUUAUCCGGAUUUACUGGGUGUAAAGGGGGCGCAGACGGCGAUGCAAGCCAGGAGUGAAAGCCCGGGGCCCAACCCCGGGACUGCUCUUGGAACUGCGUGGCUGGAGUGCAGGAGGGGCAGGCGGAAUUCCUGGUGUAGCGGCGAAAUGCGUAGAUAUCAGGAGGAACACCGGUGGCGAAGGCGGCCUGCUGGACUGCAACUGACGUUGAGGCCCGAAAGCGUGGGGAGCAAACAGGAUUAGAUACCCUCGUA
rnacentral:rRNA from 1 species